CAGACAAUUCACCAUGUUCUAUCAAUGAGUGUUGGGCAGCACUCUGUUCUUUGUAGUGGUGUGCCGGGGAGGCAGCACCAAGGCGGGGGAGGCAGGCAGGAUUAACAUACUGGUGAGAAAGGCUGCCUCUGUUGUGUGGCUGAACAUGGACAGCCUGAAGGCAUAGGCAGAGGGAGGAUGACGACCAAAUUGAACUCUGUCUUCAACAACACCUCCAACCCUUCUGUGAACUGAUGCAGAGACCCCCUUUCAGCCUCCACCCCUGUCCUGCAAGGUGCCUUGCAGAGCACCUUUGAGUGUUCCUUUGUGCUGUCAGACUUUACAGCACUCCCUCAUCUUCCUUCCAGUCUCGACUGACUAGUUGUUUUUGAGGAACAACAUCUGCAUGACAGCAUCUAUACAAACUGCCCUGGACUCCUUCUUUGAGUUAAUCUGCAUGCCAUCUUAACUGCACAUACCUAUGCAGAUCACUGCGACCUCACUUGAAGCAGAGGGAAACAGGUAACAUAGCUUCGCCUGAAGUAAAAGGAACAAGGAACAAUAUUUUACCUGUGGCUUAUUUAAACACCAGGACAUGUGGUUCAUUGUUGCAGAGAGACUCAGAGGGUGAAAUCACGGCCUGUUUUGUCAUCAUUAGUCAUGAGGCCCAACUGCUGGUGUGUAACUAUGGAUGAGUAAGCUUUGUAGAACAACAACAACAAAAAAUACAGACGGCAUAGUAGGCCUACCCACACUUCAGCACUGUAUGUUCUGUAUUGUUUCCAAUCCAAUAACUUAGAGCUAAUUAUGAGUGAAUGUGUGUCUCUGAUUCACUUGAAACCACAAGUUCAAUCUGUAUUAUUCUCGAGUCGAUUACAGAUAAGACACAUGACAUUUCCAGAAAGACUGGCUCCGCACUAAAACACCCUUAAGUGCUUUAUUACUUUUUCUUGUUCUGAUAAGAACAGAAUCAUUUUCAUUUCAGGGAAGGCUGUCAAGUUGGAGUGCCCAGGUAACUUUAGCACUGAAUUAAAGAAAAAGAAAAAAACCUAGUGGAAACUUCUGAGUUGAUAAAUGAUCAGGUUUACAUGAAAAGUUCUAUUGUAAUGAAAAACAAUAAAAGUGGGCCUUUUUAAGUCAUGUUAGUGAUGAUCCCUUAACUUUUCAUCAAGAGUUAUUAUUAGGCCAAAAUAUUAUUUUCUCCAAUACUUUGGUUUAAAUGAAAUCAAAUACCUGCAAAACUAUAUCAAGCUAAGCUUUGUGUUUAGCCCUAAUUAGCAAAUGUUAACAUUUGCUAAUUAGAUGGUGUACUUGGUAAACAUUGCAUCAGCAUGAGCAUGUUAGCAUGUCGCUCAAAGCGCUGUGCUCAAAGCCUCACCACAGACACAUCCUUGAGCCUCACAGAGCUGCUACCAUGGCUGUAGUCUUGUUAUAAUAUAGACUAAAUGCUUUUUUUAACUUUGGAUUUUGUUAUGAAUAUGAAAGGACGUCUCGUCCUGUGAGUAUGUGUAUUCAUUGGGUAAGAUGUAGAAAAAAACAACAAUACAGUGCUCUGUCUAGAGUUAAUGACAGCCUGGUGUCUGACGCAAUGUUUUACCCAAACAUUGAGAUCAAACUCAGGUCGUAUGCCAGAGGUCUGCGUCCACCAUUGAACAUCACCGCCUGCUGCAGAGAUGAGAAAACUCAUCGAUCUAAAUCCACUUGUGGUGUUUCAUGCUUUUGUAGGUCUUUGUUUUUUUUCUGGGCCUUGAGAGCCCGACCUUGACACGACAGGCCAGCCAGAUUGUUAAAGUGGUCAGGCUGUCCUGUGCUUAAAGAGGAUCUCUCCCAUUACAAACAGAAGUGAAGAGGCCAAUCAAAUCACUGUUCCCGCCUGAGAACUUUAUGUCAGUGCCAGACACUGUGCUGUUUGGACUCUGCACACUGGGGGAGUGGUGCUGGGAUUUGGGAAUGUACAAAAGGUCUCUUGAAUCAUCAGAUUGUUGCAGCUACAGAGAGAGAUGGUUCAAUGUUUCCCCCUGAGUGAGAUUUUUUUUUUUUUUUAAAUAAUAACUACUGCUGCAUGUUACCUUUGUGGAGGUUCAGUUGUAUAAGCUGCAGCUGAUUUCCUCACUGUCUCUUUUGGCCUUCUUGCGCUUGACACCCAGUGGGAAUUGAUAAACACUUGCAGUUUCUACACAGCUCUGGGAAAUAACCCUGUGAAAGAGGAACUAAACCCUCUUGACGUGCUCUUGUUAGAAUAGAUCGCCAAAGCACCACAUGAAACACAAGAACACCAUGUUUUUGUGGUGAAAGAAUAUGUAAAAUAAUACAGCCAGAUGGCCUUCUGAAUGCCACAUCGCCUUGCUCACACUGAACACUGGGAACUUUCUAGUGUGGGCUUUUGUGCACAGUGCUGAAAGUGUGCAUUCAUUCUCACAGGAGAGCAUCAGCUGCUGCAGGGAAGCAGGUCUAAUCCUGUAUCAGUGGAG